rnacentral:rRNA from 1 species
GUGGGGAAUAUUGGACAAUGGGCGCAAGCCUGAUCCAGCAAUGCCGCGUGGGUGAAGAAGGCCUUCGGGUUGUAAACUGCUUUUGUACGGAACGAAACGGUCCUGGUUAAUACCUGGGGCUAAUGACGGUACCGUAAGAAUAAGCACCGGCUAACUACGUGCCAGCAGCCGCGGUAAUACGUAGGGUGCGAGCGUUAAUCGGAAUUACUGGGCGUAAAGCGUGCGCAGGCGGUGCUGUAAGACAGGCGUGAAAUCCCCGGGCUCAACCUGGGAAUUGCGCUUGUGACUGCAGUGCUGGAGUACGGCAGAGGGGGAUGGAAUUCCGCGUGUAGCAGUGAAAUGCGUAGAUAUGCGGAGGAACACCGAUGGCGAAGGCAGUCCCCUGGGCCUGUACUGACGCUCAUGCACGAAAGCGUGGGGAGCAAACAGGAUUAGAUACCCUGGUAGUCC